AGUCAUUUUCUUUCUUUCUCUCUGGAAGAAGAACGGAGGAGGACGCAUGGAGCCUACGUGCGCUCUCACCAACAUUACUUUUAUGACAAUUACUUGUUGAAUUCCCCGUUUAUUCAACAGUUGGAUGGAGACUAAUGGUUCCAGACAUUCAUACAGGCUGAUUUGUUUCACUCAAGGUUCUGUGUCUUUCAGGGAUAGAUGGUGCUGGAUGCGUUACUGUGGUACCGAGACUUGAUGGGCUGGCAGGAUGCUGAAGACGCUGUAGGAGGAUCAUCGAGUCUUUUGGUGAGUUAGGUCUGCAACUGUACUCUGCCGCGUGCCUAAGGGGGGGGGGGAAUCAGGAACACAAUUAUAAUUUAGUGUACUACAAAUUGACAAUUAAGCACAUUGUAUUUGAAAAUGCCUUGAUUACAUUGAGACACGAUCACAUAUAUAUUUUUAUUUGUGGGGAUACUCAGAUUUCCUAAAUUGAAGGUGUUUUUAGCUGAAUUCCCAGUCAUUUGUGUUGUACACUUUGGGGUGUUUCCUGUUGCUGACCCUUGACCUAUACCUUUUUCUCCACUGCCAUUAACUUGCCAGUAUACAACUAGCCCAAUUGAGUUGGCUGUUUGACAUCUGUUUUCCCUUUGGAUAAUGUUGAUACUGGAGUUGUGAUGAGUUAUCAUUUUUGCCGUUUACCCAUCAGACUAUUAUUGGGGUGCUGAGAAUGUGACUAACUGAACUACCAGUGUAUUCUGACAUGUUUUACAUUACAUCUAUCAAAUGAUGUUAAUUUGAACGUGUAUUCUUUCCUAGAUUUGAUUGGCUAGCAUGUAGACUGAAGAAGUAAAUCUUGCCCUGUGGUGAGUUUUUCCUCCUGAGGGCCAAACCUGAUGUGUACGUCUUUUGUCGAAAGUGCAUGCAACUGUAGUUGUGAUGAGUUCUACAUUUUGCCGUUUACCCAUCAGACUAAAUUGGGGUGCUGACAAUGUGACGAACUGAACUAUCAGUAUAAUCUCUUGCAUAUUUUGCCUAACUACAAUCAAAUGAAAUGCUAAUAGACUGUUCUUCGAUUCUAGAUUGAUGGUCCAGUAUGAAGAUCUAAAUCUCAGCCCUAUGGUGAGUUUGAGGGCUUAACAUAGCCAAGAAACUGUUUUCCUUGGGUCUGUUCUGCUACUGGAGUUGUGAUGACUUCACACUUUUGCCGUUUACCCAUCUGACUAAAUUGGGGUGUUGAGACUGUGACUAACUGAACCACCAGCAUUAUCAUUGAUCAUUUAAUAGCUAAACCUGCAAUCCCUGACAAAAUAAGGUUUACCAAGACUUUUGUAUUUUUAUUGUGUAGGUUUGUUGGACCUGCAGUAGAUGAGUGUCUUAUGGUGAGUUUCUUCCUGGUUUGAGGUGUCGACUUAGAACUGUUCAGCCAUUUUACUGGAAUUGUGAUGCCUUUUCUGCUGAUUUACCCUCCUGAAAAGCCAUUCAUCUCAAUUACCAGCACUAUAAAUAAACUAUUGUAGAACGUUAAAGUAAUUUUGUUGCCAGCAAAUCUAAUUUAACCUUUUAUUUAUCUAGGCAUUAGUCUUAAUGAUUACAGUUGAUUAUCAAUUAAGAAACUGGUAAUUUACUUUAGCUGUGUUUGACUAUUGACACAAUCCUCAAGGUUUGGAAGGUGGCUCAUGUACUCAAAAGUUAACCCGUGACACCUAAAUAUCCUUUGCCCCUUUUCAAAACUUUCUUGCCUGGCAAAAAAACAACCAUGGUCUCAAUGUGACCAUGUCUAAAUAAAGUCAAAAAAAAAUUCCUGAUUUUAAUCUGCCCUGUUCAUUAUGAUACAUGUUAUUAAAAACUACUUUAUAGUA